rnacentral:lncRNA from 1 species
ACUGGCUCUAGCGGAGGACGCUGGAGAAACUGGCCUAGUGAAGAACCCGAGAGGUGGGAGGAUGGGGAAGCAGAUGGGUUCAGUUGUUUUUGUAGGAGGGACAUUAGGAAUGAGGACACAAAGGUAACGCAGGAAGAGCUGAAAGACCCUCCGAGGAAAUGGUGAUCCCGUGUGGGCCUCCCCAUCCAGAGCAGUGGGGGAGGGGCGCGAAGACGAGGACGUGCAGGGAAGGCCAAAGCUGGGAGGACAGGGAGAGGGAGACAGUAGACAAACAGAAAGGGGACAAGUAGGAGGUGCUGGACAUCGAGGCAUGUGGGAGGGGCUGACAUGGGCAUGUUGUUGGAUUCGGGGUAGCAACCCGGGGGUGAGAAAUACGGACAAGGGAAGAACACUUCAUCGUUCUUGUGACUCGUUGGAGGUGGGGGACUCUCAGGAAGGUUAGGAUGGGAACUAUGCAAAGGGGGUUCCACUUGAGCACGAGAGUCUCGCCAGCAAGUUACAGCAGCCGACAUCUGCCAUACCGGAAGUGGCGAGGUGUGGGUCUGGGGCCUUUCGGGAGUGGAGAGGCGGGCGCCCGAGCUCCAGGCCUGCCCCUUCAGACUCCGCCCAGCCUCGAUCCCGCACCCCCCGGCCGGCUCCGCACUCCCGCCUCCCGCCUGACGCUGCCUUAUAAGGAGCCUCCAGCAGGCGUUCGGAUUGGACCCGCCCCCUCUAGUCUCUUGUCCUAAUAAGGACAUCUAGGGCAUCCCGCAGCUAGGGGCGGGCGGGAGCGCGUCUCCAGGGUAACUGCGAAAUCUCCACCCCCCUCCUCGUUGCUCUUGGAAACUCCGAAGCUCAGAAAAGGUGGAGCCAAUCUCAUCUUGUAGCAAGGUCUCUUGCAGGAGGCGGCGGUCGAGCUGCGGUCCCCACCUGAUGCUCCCGGUGGGGGGGCAAUGCAGCGGUACGUCCCCGACUACAGUCCCCGGCAUGCUCUGCGACAUACCCCAGUCUCGGGUGUUGCUCCCCAGCUGAAGACCAAGCUUCCAGCUCUUCAUUUACAGCCUUUAUUCUGCAUAUGGGAUCGAUGCCCCCAAUUCUCUUGUUUGCGACCCUGUCUUCUGCAGAGACUGGAUUCCAGACCAAUGAAUAGUUGCUUCAAUUCACAAAAGCAAAAUACCAAGUCACUGGAAAUUUUUAGACCAAGAGAUCCAGAAAAACGCCAGGAUGGACCUUAGGAAAACCGUUUCGGUACGGGAUAAAGAAGCGCGAA